ACGCGAGCUGGGUUCAGAACGUCGUGAGACAGUUCGGUCCCUAUCCGUCGCAGGCGUAGGAAAUUUGAGAAGACCUGUCCUUAGUACGAGAGGACCGGGAUGGACGUACCUCUGGUGUACCAGUUGUUCUGCCAAGGGCAUGGCUGGGUAGCUAUGUACGGAAUGGAUAAGCGCUGAAAGCAUCUAAGCGCGAAGCCAACUUCAAGAUAAGAUUUCCCACCGCAAGGGUAAGACCCCAGAAAGACUAUCUGGUUGAUAGGUCGAAGGUGUAAGUGCAGCAAUGUAUUUAGCUUAUCGAUACUAAUAGGUCGAGGACUUGACCAA
rnacentral:rRNA from 1 species